GUCACCUAUAGCAACAUUUAUGCUUUAAGGAAGUACACAUAAUGCUGAUAAUAUAUUAUACAUACGUGAGUUAUCUGCACUUUUUUUGGCUAACAAAAAAAUACAAAGCAGUUGAAAACAUUUAAACUGUGCUUAUGUUGCAGAUUUCAUACGGGAAAUCCCCAAAAAUGAUAGUGCAUUUGGCACUGCUAGAGAUCCACCAGGUAUACACUUAACAUGUACUGGGUGAGAGAGAGUAAAAGAAAAUAAAACAAGAUGCUAACAAUAAUAUAAAUCAACAGAUAACCACAAGCUGCUGUUUUAGCACAUUAUCGGAUCAUGAGACCAGAGGUAUUGGUCUGUCAACCUACUUCCAGGAAGGGGAAGGUAUAGUGGCAGACUUUGCAAGGCCAGCAUAAAUGGCACAACUGGUCCCCCCCCAAGUUUCUAUAGGAACUAGCACAGAAUGUCCGAUUACCCUGCUACCCCAUGUGUGCAUGGCAAAGUCCCAAGUCAGUCACCUAUCAUGGAGAAACCCUCAGGCAUACGGAUGCCGUGUGGGGGUAAUUCUGUUUCCAGCUCAUGAAGUGAAUUCAGGGUCCUGCCAGCAGCAAGUGUCAUCUGAACCAAAAAGCGGAAGGUGAAUGAAGUACCCUCUCAUCAAUUCUGAGCCAGACUUUAAUAAAGAUGGAGUUAGUCGUUUCCUCUCACCCCUGCCACUUGUCCUCCAUCGAAGUUGGCAACCAUCUUAGUUCCUCAGUAUAGGCUUCUUUGGCAGCUAAUGUAAGGCCCAUGAUAAGCAGGGAGCAGGAUAAGCCCACCGGUCCAAAGGGUAGGGGGGGCACCAGCAAUAAUCCACAGUGGUAUCAGAAGCUCCACACUGGGAUAUCAGCUGCUUCUUCUUACUCCAGGGCACGCCAGGCUGCAUCAGGUAAGCCACGCCAGACACUAGUGAGUGGGAUUCUAAAUGAAUGGCAGAGGUCUCUGCAGUUCGAGUAGGCAGGGUGAAUAGUCACUGUGUCUCAAAAAUAGGGCAAAUGGCUGCAAUACAGAUUGAAUACUGUAAAGUUUGUGAGGAGUAUAAAGUAUUAAAAAGGAGGGGUAAACUCCUGUCUGAAGUAUCCCUUUAAUGUUAGUGAGUAGAUUUGUUUUUGAAAGGUGGAAGAAAAAAAAUAAAAAAAAUAAGAAAGUAACCCAAGAACAAGAACUAAAAUACAUUUUCAGUGCUUUCCACCAAUAAAAAGGUAUAUACGUACAUGGGCCAUCCUCUGCUCUUUCUUAAGUCCACUGCACAGAUGCAUUCUUGCUCAUUUAGCUUGUAUGAAGCUACUCAUUCCAAGCUUGGUUUGAUGUGGUUUUCCAUCUGCAGAUUUCUCAAAUUUUACACAGUAUUAGAAGCAGAUGUGGAGGAAAAAAAAAAAAAAAAAACUGGAAAUAGGUAUGAAAGCUUUUGCACAUUACAAAGAGCGACUUACCAAGAAUUGUAUCAAAAUACAUAGAUAUAAACACUGUAUUGGAAAUAUUCAGCUAAUGCCUGUGCCAAAGAUUGAGCCACAGCCCUAGUAUCGGUUAUUUUUACUAUUGGAUAGGGGUUCUUCAGGCAAUUUAUAUAGUUAAAUCAGCUUGACAAAAAUCAGGGCACUUCUGGCAACUUAAGCCCUACCCCUAUGCUGCUGUAUGAACGUCUGCAUUAGUCAUCAAUCUGCUCAUGGCAAUUAUGGGCUGGGAGCACUGAGAACUGGUUAGAACAAAGUUCUCAGCCAAUGCAGAAAUGGGUUUCCCUAUUAACCAAGCAGCAACUGAUGGUUUGAACUACAAGUGCCAAAAGAGGCAAAUACGGUUUGACAUAAAUGUGAGUGACGCCCUGAGACUAUCUAUACCAUAAAAACUGCAAUGAUUUGAAAUACCUCCAACUUAUAAGCCACUCUCAGGAUGCUAUAAACUUAUCCUGCCAUACCAGUCCCUUUCUGGCUCGACACAAGCAAGCCAAUGGGAAAUGGACCUUCAGACCUCCAUCACUGAAAACCAGUGGAAAACUAUCACAUCCUCCGUUAGGAGGCAGGUCAAAUCUGCCUCCCUCAUGGAGCAAUAUCAGAAAACAAUCUACAGGUGGUAUAUGGUGCCGCUUUGCUUACAUAAAUUGUAUCCCCACACGUCUUUGACGUGUUGGAGAUGCAAACAAGAGACGGGGUCAGUCCUUCACAUAUGGUGGCGAUGCCCACGCUUAAUUAGGUACUGGGGCGAUGUCCAAAAACUCAUUGCUGAAACCACAAACGUCAAUCUACCUCUCGAGCCCAUGACCUUUAUGCUAUUGGAUAUCCCCAAGGAAGUACCCAUAAAGUCGAGAAAACUAAUAUAUCAUACCCUGCUGACCGCACAAAAAACUAAUAGCUAGAUCCUGGAAGACAAUUGGGGCUCCUAAUAUCCCACACCUUAUUCAGGACAUAGAUAACCAGGCGAUUUAUGAAACAAGCUUUUCCGGGAUGCGCCCUGGCUCAAGCCGCCUUGGCGGAGCGUGGGACCAAUGGCGCACCUGGAGAAUGGCCAACCCACAACUUCUAAUCUAAUCUAACACACAUUGUAACGACCUAAGUGCAAACUGCAGGCUUAACUGGGCACGCCAGGGCUAGGACAGUCAGGCAGUGAGUAGCUAAGAGACAGACCGAACAGUACAAAGUGAGUCUGGAAAAGUGGUCAGCUGGGACGACUAUCACGGAGAGGACCCCUACUAGUGUGUAACAAUGAAUCAACGUACGCAACUGUAAGCAUUGUAACUGUGUAAACAAUGUAAAUGCAUAAUCCAUCGUUCAACAUGUGACUCAUUGUAUCGUGACUGUAC